GGCCCCGUAGCUCAGAUGGAUAGAGCGGUCGCCUCCUAAGCGACAGGCCGUGCGUUCGAAUCGCGCCGGGGCCGCCA
rnacentral:tRNA from 1 species